AUACGUAGGGGGCGAGCGUUGUCCGGAAUGAUUGGGCGUAAAGGGCGCGUAGGCGGCCCGGUAAGUCUGGAGUGAAAGUCCUGUUUUUAAGAUGGGAAUUGCUUUGGAUACUGUCGGGCUUGAGUGCAGGAGAGGUAAGUGGAAUUCCCAGUGUAGCGGUGAAAUGCGUAGAGAUUGGGAGGAACACCAGUGGCGAAGGCGACUUACUGGACUGUAACUGACGCUGAGGCGCGAAAGUGUGGGGAGCAAACAGGAUUAGAUCCCCUGGUAGUCCACGCCGUAAACGAUGGGCGCUCGUCGUCGGCGGCAGACAGUCGGCGGCCAAGCGAAAGCGAUAAGCGCCCCACCUGGGGAGUACGGUCGCAAGGCUGAAACUCAAAUGAAUUGACGGGG
rnacentral:rRNA from 1 species